rnacentral:rRNA from 1 species
AACGAACGCUGGCGGCAGGCUUAACACAUGCAAGUCGAACGCAUCCUUCGGGGUGAGUGGCAGACGGGUGAGUAACGCGUGGGAACGUGCCCUUCAGUUCGGGAUAACCCAGGGAAACUUGGGCUAAUACCGGAUACGUGCGAGAGCAGAAAGAUUUAUCGCUGAAGGAUCGGCCCGCGUCUGAUUAGCUAGUUGGUGGGGUAAUGGCCCACCAAGGCGACGAUCAGUAGCUGGUCUGAGAGGAUGAACGGCCACACUGGGACUGAGACACGGCCCAGACUCCUACGGGAGGCAGCAGUGGGGAAUAUUGGACAAUGGGGGCAACCCUGAUCCAGCCAUGCCGCGUGAGUGAUGAAGGCCUUAGGGUUGUAAAGCCCUUUUACCCGGGACGAUAAUGACUGUACCGGGAGAAUAAGCCCCGGCUAACUUCGUGCCAGCCGCCGCGGUAA